AUGACGAUCGGCGUCUGCUACGGCGUGGUGGCCAACAACCUCCCGCCGGCGAACGACGUGGUGCAGCUCUACAAGUCCAAGGGCCUCACCGGCAUGCGCAUCUACUUCACCGACGCCAAGGCCCUCUCUGCGCUCCGCGGCUCCGGCAUCGCCCUCAUCCUCCACGUCGGCGGCACCGACGUGCUGGCCAACCUCGCCGCCAACGCCUCCAACGCGGCGAACUGGGUCCGGGACAACGUGCGGCCCUACUACCCGGCGGUCAACAUCAAGGACAUCACCGCCGGCAACGAGGUCCUGGGCAGCGACACGUGGAACAUCGUCCCGGCCAUGCGGAACCUCAACUCGGCCCUUGCCGGCGUAGGCCUCGACGCCAUCAAGGUGUCCACCCCGAUCCGGUUUGACGCGGUGACCAACACCUUCCCGCCCUCCAACGGCGUGUUCGCGUAG
rnacentral:rRNA from 1 species